UACAGAGGGUGCGAGCGUUGUCCGGAAUCACUGGGCGUAAAGGGCGCGUAGGUGGCGACCCAAGUCGAUGGUGAAAGCUCGCUGCUCAACGGCGAGUCGGCCACCGAUACUGGGUUGCUCGAGCACUGUAGAGGCUAAUGGAAUUCCGGGUGUAGCGGUGGAAUGCGUAGAGAUCCGGAAGAACACCGGUGGCGAAGGCGGUUAGCUGGGCAGUUGCUGACACUGAGGCGCGACAGCGUGGGGAGCAAACAGG
rnacentral:rRNA from 1 species